rnacentral:misc_RNA from 1 species
GAUGAAGAACGUAGCAAAAUGCGAUACUUGGUGUGAAUUGCAGAAUCCCGUGAACCAUCGAGUUUUUGAACGCAAGUUGCGCCCGAAGCCUUUUGGCCGAGGGCACGUCUGCCUGGGCGUCACGCAUCGCGUCGCCCCCCACAAUUCUCUGUAAAGGGAACUCGUGUUUUGGGGGCGGAUAUUGGUCUCACGUGCUCAUGGCGUGGUUGGCCGAAAUAGGAGUCCCUUCGAUGGACGCACGAACUAGUGGUGGUCGUAAAAACCCUCGUCUUUUGUUUCGUGCUGUUAGUCGCAAGGGAAACUCUAAGAAAACCCCACCGUGUCGUCUUUUGACGGCGCUUCGACCGCGACCCCAGGUCAGGCGGGACUACCCGCUGAGUUUAAGCAUAUCAAUAAGCGGAGGA